AGUGAACGCUGGCGGUAGGCCUAACACAUGCAAGUCGAACGGCAGCACAGUAAGAGCUUGCUCUUACGGGUGGCGAGUGGCGGACGGGUGAGGAAUACAUCGGAAUCUACUUUUUCGUGGGGGAUAACGUAGGGAAACUUACGCUAAUACCGCAUACGACCUACGGGGGAAAGAAGGGGAUCUUCGGACCUUGCGGGAUUGAAUGAGCCGAUGUCGGAUUAGCUAGUUGGCGGGGUAAAGGCCCACCAAGGCGACGAUCCGUAGCUGGUCUGAGAGGAUGAUCAGCCACACUGGAACUGAGACACGGUCCAGACUCCUACGGGAGGCAGCAGUGGGGAAUAUUGGACAAUGGGCGCAAGCCUGAUCCAGCCAUACCGCGUGGGUGAAGAAGGCCUUCGGGUUGUAAAGCCCUUUUGUUGGGAAAGAAAAGCAGCAGGUUAAUACCCCGCUGUUCUGACGGUACCCAAAGAAUAAGCACCGGCUAACUUCGUG
rnacentral:rRNA from 1 species